AAUUCGCCCUUAAAGUUUGAUCCUGGCUCAGGAUGAACGCUAGCGAUAGGCUUAACACAUGCAAGUCGAGGGGCAUCACGAGGUAGCAAUACUUUGGUGGCGACCGGCGUACGGGUGCGUAACACGUAUGCAACCUUCCUGUAAGUGUGGGAUAGCCUCCUGAAAGGGAGAUUAAUACCUCAUGAUAUGUAUUUGCUGCAUGGCAUUUACAUUAAACAUUUAUGGCUUACAGAUGGGCAUGCGUUCCAUUAGGCAGUUGGUGUGGUAACGGCUCACCAAACCUACGAUGGAUAGGGGUUCUGAGAGGAAGGUCCCCCACACUGGAACUGAGAC
rnacentral:rRNA from 1 species